GCUAUGAUGGCCGAGUGGUUAAGGCGUUGGACUUAAUAUCCAAUGGGGUCUCCCCGUGCAGGUUUGAACCUUGCUCACAGCG